UACGGAAGGUCCGGGCGUUAUCCGGAUUUAUUGGGUUUAAAGGGAGCGCAGACGGGCUGUUAAGCGUGCCGUGAAAUACUGGGGCUCAACCUUGGUGUGCGGCGCGAACUGGCGGCCUUGAGUGGGCGGUAGGUACGCGGAAUUCGUGGUGUAGCGGUGAAAUGCUUAGAUAUCACGAGGAACCCCGAUUGCGAAGGCAGCGUACCGCAGCCUUACUGACGUUCAUGCUCGAAGGUGCGGGUAUC
rnacentral:rRNA from 1 species